AAAAAAUCAAAAUUAAUCCAAAAAAUAAUUCUAAUUCAGAAAAUGAAAGAGAAAAAUAUUUAAAUAUUUUUGGUGAAAGUCUCAUAUUUUUUGGAUUAAAAAUGAAAUUAUUAUGAAUUAAACAAAAUAAAGAAAUUAAAUGAAAAAUUAGAAAAUACAAAAAAAAAAAUAGGGCCAUCAGAUCUCCCUUAUUAAUUGAGGUGGAAGAUCUAAUGGGCACACGCGCGCG
rnacentral:lncRNA from 1 species